rnacentral:rRNA from 1 species
GACGAACGCUGGCGGCGUGCCUAACACAUGCAAGUCGAACGGAGAUAUGAUUUCGGUUGUAUCUUAGUGGCGAACGGGUGAGUAACGCGUGAGCAACCUGACUCUUAGAGGGGGAUAACACUCGGAAACGGGUGCUAAUACCGCAUAAGACCACGACAUGGCAUCAUGACGAGGUCAAAAGGAGCAAUCCGCUGAGAGAGGGGCUCGCGUCCCAUUAGAUAGAUGGCGGGUAACGGCCCACCAUGUCAGCGAUGGGUAGCCGAGCUGAGAGGCUGAUCGGCCACACUGGAACUGAGACACGGUCCAGACUCCUACGGGAGGCAGCAGUGGGGAAUAUUGGGCAAUGGGCGCAAGCCUGACCCAGCAACGCCGCGUGAGGGAAGAAGGCUUUCGGGUUGUAAACCUCUGUCCUUGGUGACGAAAAAAUGACGGUAGCCAAGGAGGAAGCCCCGGCUAACUACGUGCCAGCAGCCGCGGUAAU